GAUUUGAUUAUUCAAUCUUUUAAAAUUUUAAUUUAAUUAUCUAAUUUUUCAGUUUGUUUGAUUUGAGUUGGCCAGCAUUUUUUUUUUGAGUCGUUUAUUAUUACAUGUUUAGUUAAUAUAUUUUAUAUAAUUUUUACAUCUAUAAAUUUAUUAAAAUAAAUAAUUAAUUUAAACUUUGAUGUCAAAAUAUCGUUGACCGAUUAAAAUUAAAUAAAUUAAAAUUGUAAAAGAUUACUAGCAUGUUUAAAAUGAUUUGUAGUUUCUGAUAAAUUU
rnacentral:lncRNA from 1 species